GAUGAACGCUAGCAGCAGGCCUAACACAUGCAAGUCGAGGGGCAGCACAGAAACAGCAAUGUUUUGGUGGCGACCGGCGGACGGGUGCGUAACGCGUAUGCAACCUACCUUUAACAGGGGGAUAACGGAGAGAAAUUUCCACUAAUACCCCAUAACAUCGAUCAAGGCAUCUUGAUUGGUUGAAAACUCCGGUGGUUAAAGAUGGGCAUGCGUUGUAUUAGGUAGUUGGUGAGGUAAUGGCUCACCAAGCCUACGAUACAUAGGGGACUGGGAGUUUAGCCCACCACACUGGUACUGUGAGACGGACCAGACUCCUACGGGGGGAAGCAGUGAGGAAUAGUGGUCAAUGGGGGCAAGCCUGAGCCGGCCAUGCCGCGUGCAGGCAGACGGCUCUAUGAGUUGUAAACUGCUUUUAAACAGGGAUAAAGCACAGUAUGUAUACUGUGUUGAAGGUACUGUAAGAAUAAGGAUCGGCUAACUCCGUGCCAGCCGCCGCAGUAA
rnacentral:rRNA from 1 species